rnacentral:lncRNA from 1 species
CCUUCACUGUCCCCUCCCCAAGCUCAGUGCUGGACACAGACCCAUCAAGACAGCUUAGACUUGGCCUGAUUUAUAGCAAUCGAUACCUAUGCAUAACCGUUUCGAGUAUGAAAUUGUACCUAUUUAUUAUUUAUGUUAAUUAAUACCUCGUCAUCAUUCUCUGAGUUAUCCCUUGGCACCUUUCACCCACGAGGAAGUGAGUGCUGCCCGGACCUCACCUGCCAUCUGCCUGGGUCCUGGCUGUGUUCCCUGGUGUCCUCUGAGCCCCCAGCCCAGGUGUCCAGGCAAUCCUGGGGAAGGAAUGCACGGGCGUGAGAAGGGGGCGGGCGGCAGCCCAUCCAUCCCAAACCUAACAUGACCUGGAAGAAAUGUCCUUUUGAACCUUUGGCUGGAAAGCGCUGUGACCAUCCCAGGCACCCGGCUUCACGCAGGGCUCUGGGCCUCCCAGCCACCCCCUGCCGCACUGCUGCCCCUUCAAGCGAGAGAGGUUAUCAUGGAUCUGGGGGCUAGGGGGCCUGGGUUCUAGUCUCAGAGCCUGUGUUCCCCAUCUGUAGGGGAGGCUGUGGGGCCAGCCCUCUGAGAUCCCUGCUGGCCGGGCCAGGCCGAGCCCACCCCUGCGGAGGUCAGGUGAAAGUGAGGCCGGCUGGGCUCUGCAGCCUCCUUGCCUCUCGGGGCAGCCCUGCCAGCCACCUGCCUGGCCCUCCAGCCCUGCUUGCUCGUCUCCCAGGUGGACAUUUCGAGCCUCACCACUGGCUUCCAGGCUGGUCCUAAACAGUUAAGGAGAGAACCACGUCUCCCAGGGCAACAGAAUUCCAGCGCUAACAUUUCCGUCUGCAGAACCAGGGUUUUCCCGCCUGUGAAAUGCCUUUCUGGUCUCGGGAUGACUGCACCCUGGGAGGCCGAGGGCUCCUGGAAGACCGGCUAUGGCCCUGGAUGUUGGCCCACGAGGAACCUUGCGUCUGUCUCCACUGGCCAUAAAAAUGAGGUUCCUACAACUGCAGAGAAUGUCGGGCUCGGUGUCCUCACCUGUGGAAUGGGAUGGUGACAGGACUGGCUCUCGGGGUCACUGUGGAGCGCCAUGAAGGUGAUGCCUGGCAAGGCCCUGGCCACAGCGGUGCUCAGCAAGGAGACGCUGCAGCCGGCUCUUUUUGCAGACCUGGAAGACACGUUCGGGCAGCGUGUUAAAACCCGGCUGGAUGGGGUCAUACUGUUUCCACCUCUGGUU